UCUAAAAUUGGGGGAUAUAGCUACAGCGUAUUAUUUUCUAGCUUAUAUACAACGCGAGAGAGAGAACGAGAGAGAGAGAGAGACGAUGUCGUACUUGCUACCACACUUGCACUCAGGAUGGGCUGUAGAUCAAGCUAUUCUCGCCGAAGAAGAACGCCUCGUUGUCAUCCGCUUCGGUCACGAUUGGGAUGAGACUUGUAUGCAGAUGGAUGAAGUACUAGCUUCUGUUGCUGAGACGAUAAAGAAUUUUGCUGUGAUCUAUCUCGUGGAUAUUACUGAGGUGCCUGACUUCAACACUAUGUAUGAACUGUACGAUCCUUCUACUGUUAUGUUCUUUUUCAGAAACAAACAUAUCAUGAUUGAUCUUGGCACUGGGAACAACAAUAAGAUUAAUUGGGCAAUGAAGGACAAGCAGGAGUUCAUUGACAUUAUCGAAACAGUGUAUCGUGGAGCAAGGAAGGGUCGUGGAUUGGUCAUUGCACCCAAGGAUUACUCCACCAAGUAUCGCUAUUAACCGAAGUUGCUUUGCCUUGUUAUUAAACACGGGCUUCUUGGAUGGAUUAAAUAAUGAGUUCUUGCCUGAUCCCUCAUUGUAAAACUUAAUUUUUACGAGCAAAAGGAAGAGAAUUCUCAGAUGCUUGACCAAAUCAUCAAGCUGUGCAGUUUUGAAAGUAUGUGCAGUCUUGUGAGGUUAAUAAGACUGGGAAUUUACGUGGAAGUAAAAAUCGAUAUAUAUUUGUGUGGUGGCAUGGUUGGCGAAUGGAAGAAAUAUUUAACUGCGGAGAUGGAUUCUAAGCUGGAUCAGAUUACUGAAGAAAGUUUUGUGGUUCGUGAUUGUAUAUGGCAUGAUGCUGACACCUGUAUAUAUUUGACAAGUACUGGCCUUGCUUUUCUUAUUCUCGUUCCAUUUCAGACUACUCUGUGUGUGUAUGUCUUCUCUGUGUUUAACCCCAUGUUCAGUUAUGUCAAACUUUAUAAAUUGCUUGGAAUAGAAUGUUUCAAUUUUUUUUUU